UGCUCCUUUGACAGAGCAACAGCAAGCCGCCAUUGUGACUCUCUCUCAUGCCGUCGCCGAUCGGCCGUUUCCUCUCAAUUUGGCCAAAGACCGUGCCUCCGGGCAGGAGAAUGGCUUGUCCGUUUCCACGAAGGAGAACGCCUCGGGCUUCGAACACUCUGGAGCUGCAGAAGCCGUUCUCGUCAAUACAAAUCAGACAGAGGAGAAGUAUCGGCAGUAUGUGAAUACAUUGACUGGGCGGAUAGAGACAUGUGAUGGCAUACUUCGCCAGGUAGAUCUUAAGUAUCGGCAGUUGGUG